rnacentral:rRNA from 1 species
GACGAACGCUGGCGGCGUGCUUAACACAUGCAAGUCGAACGGUGAAAGCGGAGCUUGCUCCGCUGGAUCAGUGGCGAACGGGUGAGUAACACGUGGGAAUCUACCCAGUAGUACGGAAUAACAGCUAGAAAUGGCUGCUAAUACCGUAUAGUAUCGAGAGAUUAAAGAUUUAUCGCUACUGGAUGAGCCCGCGUCAGAUUAGGUAGUUGGUAGGGUAAUGGCCUACCAAGCCGAAGAUCUGUAGCUGGUCUGAGAGGAUGAUCAGCCACACUGGAACUGAGACACGGUCCAGACUCCUACGGGAGGCAGCAGUGAGGAAUAUUGGACAAUGGGCGAAAGCCUGAUCCAGCAAUACCGCGUGAGUGAAGAAGGCCUUAGGGUUGUAAAGCUCUUUCAGCAGGGAAAAUAAUGAUGGUACCUGCAAAAGAAGUUCCGGCUAACUCCGUGCCAGCAGCCGCAGUAA